rnacentral:rRNA from 1 species
UACGUAGGGUGCAGGCGUUAAUCGGAAUUACUGGGCGUAAAGCGUGCGCAGGCGGUCUGCUAAGAGAGAUGUGAAAUCCCCGGGCUUAACCUGGGAACUGCGUUUCUAACUGGCAGGCUUGAGUGUGGCAGAGGGGGUGGAAUUCCGACGUGUAGCGUGAAAUGCGUAGAGAUGUGGAGGAACACCGAUGGCGAAGGCAGCCCCCUGGGCUAACACUGACGCUCAUGCACGAAAGCGUGGGAGCAA